rnacentral:ribozyme from 1 species
CGGCGAGAAAUUCGUGGUCGUUAGUGAGACAUUUCAAGAGCGGAGGAGGAACGGCGAGAAGCGCAUCGGAAGAGGAGGAGGAGGAAAAGGAGGAGGACGG